rnacentral:tRNA from 1 species
GCCCAGGUGGCGAAAUUGGUAGACGCACCAGAUUUAGGUUCUGGCGCCGCAAGGCGUGGGGGUUCGAGUCCCUUCCUGGGCA